rnacentral:rRNA from 1 species
UUCGCAAUGCCCGAAAGGGUGACGAAGCGACGCCGCGUGUGGGAAGAAGGCCUUCGGGUUGUAAACCACUGUCGGGAGUUAAGAAAUGCAAGGAUAUUAAUAGUGUCUUUGUUUGACUAAGGCUCCGGAGGAAGCCACGGCUAACUCUGUGCCAGCAGCCGCGGUAAUACAGAGGCGGCAAGUGUUGUUCGGAAUUAUUGGGCGUAAAGAGCACGUAGGCGGCUAUGUAAGUCGGUUGUGAAAGCCUUCCGCUCAACGGAAGAACAGCAUCCGAUACUACAUGGCUUGAGUGCGGGAGGGGAGAGUGGAACUUCUGGUGGAGCGGUGAAAUGCGUAGAUAUCAGAAGGAACGCCGGCGGCGAAAGCGACUCUCUGGCCCGUAACUGACGCUGAGUGUGCGAAAGCUAGGGGAGCAAACGGGAUUAGAUACCCCGGUAGUCCUAGCCGUAAACGAUGGGCACUAAGUAGAGGGGUUUU